rnacentral:rRNA from 1 species
GUCCACGCCGUAAACGAUGGAUACUAGCUGUUCGGAGCAAUCUGAGUGGCUAAGCGAAAGUGAUAAGUAUCCCACCUGGGGAGUACGUUCGCAAGAAUGAAACUCAAAGGAAUUGACGGGGGCCCGCACAAGCGGAGGAGCAUGUGGUUUAAUUCGAUGAUACGCGAGGAACCUUACCAGGGCUUAAAUGGGAGACGACAGGACUGGAAACAGUUUUUUCUCGGACGUCUUUCAAGGUGCUGCAUGGUUGUCGU